CACAGGAUGGCCUUCCAUGCCUGGUGGUUUACCCAACCACAGAUCACAGAUACUCAACAACAAAAACAUGUGUCUAAUGCAGAACAGAUGCGUCUUUCCUGCCUUAAUGCCCCAGAGUCCUCGAAAGCACUGGGACCCGUGUGUCAAUUCCUGAGUUCAGACUUUUCAGGGUCUGAAAUUUACAUCGCAGAGUCCUUUGUUCACUCCCCUUCCUGCACGGCCAGGAAAACACCACUUGGAAUGUCUUCAGCUCGAGGGAGUUUGUUGAGCUCAAACAGACCGCAAGCUCAAACCGAACACUUGUAGAAUCUCAGAACUGUGAUCCGUGUUAAACUCCGGUGUCUUUUCCUGUGCCUGCCUCGUCACGUAUGAACCGAAACAUCAACGUUUCGUCUGCGGUCCCCGGAGGAAGAGGUGGGGCUAUGUAGUUCUUCUUGGCCCUCUACCUGCGUCUAUUUCCUGCUUGUAUUUGGAAGGUCAUCUCUCCUGUUUACAAAAUUCAAUAAAUAGAAACUCCAGCCUUCAAAGCUCAUAAAUCAUUGAGAAAGGGUUCUAUGCAAAGAAAGGCCUGGAUUCUAGUCUCGACCUUGUCUGUAACAAGCUACAUUUCUCAGUAAAUCACUCCUAGCUGGAGGGUCAGCACCCCAUCAGGGAAGGCCUGGGAAUACCUUUCCCUGCUCUGUGAGCAGGUCAGGGUCCGUGAAUGGAUUACAGAAACCAAUAC
rnacentral:lncRNA from 1 species